rnacentral:rRNA from 1 species
CUUGACCUCGGAUCAGGUAGCU